CCUACGGGGGGCUGCAGUGAGGAAUAUUGGUCAAUGGGCGCGAGCCUGAACCAGCCAAGUAGCGUGAAGGAUGAAUGCCCCAAGGGUUGUAAACUUCUUUUAUAAAGGAAUAAAGUGAGGCACGUGUGCCUUUUUGUAUGUACUUUAUGAAUAAGGAUCGGCUAACUCCGUGCCAGCAGCCGCGGUAAUACGGAGGAUCCGAGCGUUAUCCGGAUUUAUUGGGUUUAAAGGGAGCGUAGAUGGGUUGUUAAGUCAGUUGUGAAAGGUUGCGGCUCAACCGUAAAAUUGCAGUUGAUACUGGCAGUCUUGAGUUCAGUUGAGGUAGGCGGAAUUCGUGGUGUAGCGGUGAAAUGCUUAGAUAUCACGAAGAACUCCGAUUGCGAAGGCAGCUUACUAAACUGCCACUGACAUUGAUGCUCGAAAGUGUGGGUAUCAAACAGGAUUAGAUACCCUUGUAGUC
rnacentral:rRNA from 1 species